ACAAAAGAGAAAAUUGUGGGCUGAGCUGAGUCUUGGUACUGGUGGCCACCAUGUCCUUGAAGAUCCAGACAAGCAACGUAACUAACAAGAAUGACCCCAAGUCUAUCAACUCUCGGGUCUUCAUCGGAAACCUCAACACAGCUGUGGUGAAGAAGUCAGAUGUGGAGACCAUUUUCUCCAAGUAUGGCCGUGUGGCCGGCUGUUCUGUGCACAAAGGCUAUGCCUUUGUCCAGUAUGCCAACGAGCGUCAUGCCCGGGCAGCUGUGCUGGGAGAGAAUGGGCGGGUGCUGGCCGGGCAGACCCUGGAUAUCAACAUGGCUGGAGAGCCCAAGCCCAACAGACCUAAGGGGCUAAAGAGAGUGGCAUCUGCCAUAUACAGGCUCUUCGACUAUCGGGGCCGCCUGUCACCUGUGCCAGUGCCCAGGGCCGUCCCUGUGAAGCGACCCCGGGUCACAGUCCCCUUGGUCCGGCGCAUCAAAACCACCAUACCUGUCAAGCUCUUUGCCCGCUCCACAGCCAUUACUGCCAGCUCAGCCAAGAUCAAGUUAAAGAGCAGCGAGCUGCUGACCAUCAAGACAGAGCUGACACAGAUCAAGUCCAGCAUCGACGCUCUGCUGGGCCGCUUGGAGCAGAUUGCUGAGGAGCAGAAGGCCAACACAGAUGGCAAGAAGAAGGGCGAAAGCAGCAGUGGCAGUGGUGGGGGUAGUAGUGGUGGCAGCAGCCGGCCACCGGCCCCCCGAGAGGACACGGCUUCUGAGGCAGGCACGCCCCAGGGAGAAGCACAGACUCGAGACGACGGCGAUGAGGAGGGGCUGCUGACACACAGUGAGGAAGAACGGGAGCACAGCCAGGACACAGACGCGGAGGAUGGGGCCUUGCAGUAAGCAGCCUGGCAGGAGUGAUGGCCACCGGCAGCAGAAGGGCAUGCACCGUACCAGGCCUAAAGC